rnacentral:rRNA from 1 species
GAUGAACGCUAGCUACAGGCUUAACACAUGCAAGUCGCGGGGCAGCAUGGGGGUUGCUUGCAAUCCCCGAUGGCGACCGGCGCACGGGUGAGUAACGCGUAUCCAACCUGCCCUUCACCACGGGAUAACCCGGCGAAAGUCGGACUAAUACCGUAUGUUGUCCAUUGACGGCAUCCGAUUUGGACGAAAGGUUUGGCGGUGAAGGAUGGGGAUGCGUCCGAUUAGCUGGACGGCGGGGUGACGGCCCACCGUGGCGACGAUCGGUAGGGGUUCUGAGAGGAAGGUCCCCCACACUGGAACUGAGACACGGUCCAGACUCCUACGGGAGGCAGCAGUGAGGAAUAUUGGUCGAUGGGCGUAAGCCUGAACCAGCCAAGUAGCGUGCAGGAGGACGGCCCUAUGGGUUGUAAACUGCUUUUAUGCGGGGAUAAAGUGGCCCACGUGUGGGUUUUUGCAGGUACCGCAUGAAUAAGGACCGGCUAAUUCCGUG